ACGGGUGAGUAACGCGUGGGUAACCUGCCUUGUACUGGGGGACAACAGUUGGAAACGACUGCUAAUAUCGCAUAAGCGCACAGCUUCGCAUGAAGCAGUGUGAAAAACUCCGGUGGUACAAGAUGGACCCGCGUCUGAUUAGCUGGUUGGUGAGGUAACGGCCCACCAAGGCGACGAUCAGUAGCCGGCCUGAGAGGGUGAACGGCCACAUUGGGACUGAGACACGGCCCAAACUCCUACGGGAGGCAGCAUG
rnacentral:rRNA from 1 species